AGCCGGGAGGAGGGGCCGGGGCGGCGGCGGCUGUGGCCGGUACUGGACCCGGCGGGAUGAGCGAGGUGGAGGCGGCAGCGGUGGCUACAGCGGUCCCCGCGGCGACGGUGCCCGCGACGGCGGCAGGGGUGGUAGCGGUGGUGGUACCGGUGCCCGCAGGGGAGCCGCAGAAAGCAGGCGGCGGGGCGGGCGGCGGGGGCGGAGCCGCCUCGGGCCCCGCUACUGGGACCCCCUCGGCGCCGGGCCCCCGCACCCCUGGCAAUCCGGCGACGGCGGCCUCGGGAACCCCCGCCCCCCCGGCCCGGAGUCAGGCGGACAAGCCGGUGCUGGCAAUCCAAGUCCUGGGCACUGUCAAAUGGUUCAACGUCCGGAAUGGUUACGGAUUCAUCAACAGGUAUCCAAGGAACCCAGGGCGGGGGUGGAAUGGGUGUCUUCCCAGCUGGCCUGUGGGACUGGACACCCGCCCAACCUCAUCGACCCCUGCGGAGGCACAUGGUUGCAAUGUCCAGCUGAUGCUGGUUGAAAGCCUUUAACCGCAGCACAAAUGUGUGCUUCGUGACAAGAGGAAGCCUCCUCCGCAUCUUCAAGGGUAGCGGAGGAUUAAUGAUUCAGGAACUUGGCAAACCUGGCUCUGACCCUGCCAGCUUCUCAUCUCACCUUCUGGAAUUGCUUCAUUACUUUUACUCUGACAUGCCUUUGGGGCAGAAUGUAUUAUAGGGUUCUCUGUGCCUCAGGGCCCCCGGCUGGAAUCCUCACUGAUUUCCUGUUAUGGCAGCACUCACAACUCAACUCC
rnacentral:sRNA from 1 species